rnacentral:rRNA from 1 species
GACGAACGCUGGCGGCGCGCCUAAUACAUGCAAGUGGGACGCAAGGGAACACACUGUGCUUGCACACCGUGUUUUCUUGAGUCGCGAACGGGUGAGUAACGCGUAGGUAACCUGCCUAUUAGCGGGGGAUAACUAUUGGAAACGAUAGCUAAUACCGCAUAAUAUUAAUUAUUGCAUGAUAAUUGAUUGAAAGAUGCAAGCGCAUCACUAGUAGAUGGACCUGCGUUGUAUUAGCUAGUUGGUAAGGUAAGAGCUUACCAAGGCGACGAUACAUAGCCGACCUGAGAGGGUGAUCGGCCACACUGGGACUGAGACACGGCCCAGACUCCUACGGGAGGCAGCAGUAGGGAAUCUUCGGCAAUGGACGAAAGUCUGACCGAGCAACGCCGCGUGAGUGAAGAAGGUUUUCGGAUCGUAAAGCUCUGUUGUAAGUCAAGAACGUGUGUGAGAGUGGAAAGUUCACACAGGA